GACGAACGCUGGCGGCGCGCUUAACACAUGCAAGUCGAGCGAGAAAACUUUAACAGAACCCUUCGGGGCGAUGAUAGAGUGGUUUUGCGGCAGACGGGUGUGAAACACGUGAAUAACCUCCCUUACACAUUGGGAUAAACUCGAGAAACUGGGUUUAAUACCAAAUAAAAUCAUGAUGACACAUUUCAUAACGAACAAAACUCCGGUGGUCUAAGAUGGACGCGCGUCCCAUUAGCUAGUUGGUAGUGUAACAGCCUACCAAGGCGACGAUGGGUAGCCGGCCUGAGAGGGUGAACGGCCACAUUGGAACUGAGACACGGCCCAGACUCCUACGGGAGGCAGCAGUGGGGAAUAUUGCACAAUGGAGGGAACUCUGAUGCAGCGACGCCGCGUGAAGGAAGAAGGCUUUCGAGACGUAAAGUUCUAUUAUAUGGGAAGAUAGUGACGGUACCAGAAUAAAAAGCCCCGGCUAACUACGUG
rnacentral:rRNA from 1 species